rnacentral:rRNA from 1 species
AACGAACGCUGGCGGCAUGCCUAACACAUGCGAGUCGAACGAGAUCUUCGGGUCUAGUGGCGCGCGGGUGCGUAACGCGUGGGAAUCUGCCCUUUGGUUCGGAAUAACAGUUGGAAACGACUGCUAAUACCGGAUGAUGACGAAAGUCCAAAGAUUUAUCGCCAGAGGAUGAGCCCGCGUAGGAUUAGCUAGUUGGUGUGGUAAAGGCGCACCAAGGCGACGAUCCUUAGCUGGUCUGAGAGGAUGAUCAGCCACACUGGGACUGAGACACGGCCCAGACUCCUACGGGAGGCAGCAGUGGGGAAUAUUGGACAAUGGGCGAAAGCCUGAUCCAGCAAUGCCGCGUGAGUGAUGAAGGCCUUAGGGUUGUAAAGCUCUUUUACCCGGGAUGAUAAUGACAGUACCGGGAGAAUAAGCUCCGGCUAACUCCGUGCCAGCCGCCGCCGUAA